GUCUAUGGCCGCGCCACCCUGAACAAGCCCGACCCCAUCUGAUCUCAGAAGCUAAGCAGGGUUGGGCCUGGUUAGUUCUUGGAUGGGAGACCACCUAGGAAGACCAGGUACUGUAGGUG
rfam:Pteropus alecto contig17933, whole genome shotgun sequence.